UCUCGGGGGAAACGCGCCCACCUAGCCGUCGUCUCCAUUCCCCACUCAACCUCCUCACAUUCCCACAAAAUUCCUAUGUCAUCCGUGUCCGCCGCCAGUGCGAGCCCAACCACGAGGACGAUUCAAGCGACGGAGCACGUACAAAUGACGAGCUCGUCAGCACCAUCCACCAUGCGGAGGCGAACCCCGCUCAUGUGACCAAAGUCGGGGCAAGGAGAAGGGGCGGGAUGCCAACGACGCAAAGGACGAUGGUGGGGGUGGUGGCGAUCUGCCACGUCCCCUGGGGUUGAGAAGACAAACAGAAAUAAUGAAAACUAGGAACAACAUCUUUUCCACCACCCCUGGCACGGCAGUUUUGAAGAUGGAUGAUGCCCCAAAUCAACACGAUGACGAGGGGAGCUCUCAGAAGCUAGGCCAUGGCGCCCGGCGGCUUCUGAGGGUGGGAACAAAAAGUUGCGAGAUCAACGCUGGUGAGGAGGUCGGGUUUUCUGGUUGUGGGUGAGUGAGAAAGGGGGCAGGAUCAUGUGAGGCAGAGGUUGCUUUAUUUCUGCGGUGGAUUUUUCAGGAUGUGGCAACGAGGAGGAGAAUGAACUUGCCUUUUCAAGCACAUGGUGGUGGGGACCGACAGAGACAUGGCUUUCCAAAUCUGACGACCGAUGUACCCAUCCGUAUAGCGCGUGGACUCUCCAUAGCAACGUCCAAUUAAUUAAGAUAAAUUCUAUCUAGAAGUACCUCACCGUGCACAUCCAGUGCAACGGUUUGUGUGUUUUCUUAUAUGCAUGCAUGCAAUGAUGUCAUCAGAUUCGUU